AAACGCGAGGAUUCUUUACCCUCAUUUGCUUAUUCUUCUUCUGCCUGUUCUUUCAUCUUCUUGAGGUGCUCUAUCAGGAACACCUCUUCUUAUUAUCAAAAAACAAUUAUCAAAUCAUGCUGGGAUAAUGAAAAUGUAGAAUACAGUAAAUAUUGGGGGGCUAGAAUAAAACAUUUUUAAUGGUGUGGUGGGAAGUUUAAUAAGAUUAUAUUUUGGGGGGUUGGGAUAUUCUUGGUCUCUCUUUGGUUUUGAGUCUCCAAAGAAUUUUUCACUUUAUGUUCAGUUGGGGUUUCUGGAGUCCCAAGCUUUUUCACAAUCAUAUAUGGAGAAGAAGUAAAAGUAAAAGUAGAUAUUCCUCCCCUAACUCCCAAAACAACAACUGGAGAUGACAGCGGAUCCAAGAUGCUUCCCCACACUCUGUUGACCCCUCUUAACAAUCUGGAGUCGAGUUCCGAUGUGGAUUAUCAGUCCAAGAAUGAGACUGCCAAGGGAGAUGGUGGUGUUAAAGCGAGUACUUGCGGUCCAAAGGCUAGGAGAUGUCUUGAACCAGUAAUGACUCCAUCAGCCAAGAAAGUCUGGUGUCUUCAUGAUGCGCCGUCAACUCUAGCGCCGAUUCUCGAUAUUCCUAAACCCCCGGAGGAAAUGAAGUACGAUGAUCUAUGUGUGGGAAACACUUUCAAAAGCAAGGGGAGCUGAAACUUAUACUUGCAAUAGCCAAAGUAGAAAGAAAUUUUGAGUACACAGCUUUUAAAUCCGACAGUCAGAGGUUUAUUGCCAAAUGCAAAGACAAGACAUGCAAGUGGCGUCUGCGAGCAGUUCCCUUAGAUUCUUGUGGGUGGUGGAGACUCACAGUCGCAAACGAUGUGCGCACUUGUGGUAGUAACAAAAGGACUGACCCUGAAUUAAGAACCAAAGCGGUGUCUGCUGGAAUUGCAGAGCUUUUCAAGCACAAAUUCAAAGAAUUGGAUGCGGCCUUUACGCCCAAACAACUGGUUAAGGACAUAAAAAGGGACUAUCAUGUGGUCAUCUGGUUAAGCACAAAUUCAUAAAAUGUCAGCUGCUGCACCAUGAAAGCUAGGGUUUUAUAUUUACCGAUUGACUAAUAUCCAACUAUAUGGAAAGCAGGAGCUAUAGAGUUCAAUAGGUUUCAGCUGAUCAUCCUCACUGUCCCAGACAACAUCAUUUGUAGAGGAUUUAUUUCGAUAGCAAAAGGUUGCAUUUGGUAUGUAUUUCGUAAACUACGUCUUUCCUCUUCCUCGAUUUGAUUUAAUUUUGGGUAAACUUAUGCAAAUGUAUGGAUAUUAUCUUCCAAGCAAAAUCUGGGAUGUGAAAAACGGUUUGUCUUUGUUCUCUCAACAUUGCAGCAAAUUGAGCCUGAUGCUCUAAUUUUGUCUCAUGCGCGAGAGUGAACAACUCUUAUCUCAUUACUUAAUAGACAAUCUCUUUUCUAUGUCAACUAUCUUCAAAAUAAUUAGUUGGUCUUUACUCACUGUUUAUGAUCAUGCACAAGGAUAAACAAUUUUGCUUGGCUGGAGUUGUAUUAGAUCAGUUUUACAAGACUUGUGUGGAAUCUAUAUAUGGGUAGAGAGUGGUCAUGCUCAAACUCUUACCUACGAUACUAAUGUGCAAUGAGUACUUCUUAGCCUACUCUACGUAUUCUUAAACCGAUUCUAUUACAUAACUUAUUUUUCAUAACCUUAGGUUUGCCUUGUUGAAAUCUGUUGAGAGUAAAAAUACUUGCUGGAACUUGUAAGGUGCGUCUAUUAAUUGGAUGGUUUGAAUAGUUAUCUUCUUUUGAGGCUUUUGUUUAGUGUUCUGGCUUUGAAGUCCUCCGACUAAUUUCAGUAGGAGUAUCGUGUUCUGCAGUCAUGUAUAUACAUACAGUGGAAGUAGAUUAAGCUCUUGCCAUUAGCAUUUAUAUUCAGUUUUUCCUUACUUUAGGUUCAUGAGUUAAACAACACACAUUGAAGCUGCACUAGUAGAAGAAAUUGAAAAAUAUGUUUAGCAUCAAGUGCCUUCAGAAGUAAUACAAAGCACCUUUGUUAAGUAUGUGCAGGAGAAAUUUGCCUCUAAUUUCUUCCAUACGUCUUAUGGGAUUUUACCUUUUGUACCAUGUGAUGAAAGAUCCUGGUAAUUGGUUUUUAGAUGUUGUCAUUUUGCGCCUCAUGUGAAACUUAUUUUGAUUAUCUUUUCAAUGGUUAGUUGAUAUAUCUGUUGUCUUUUCUCUGCGCCACUGGGAGGCCUUCACCUGUUUGCUUAUUGGAAUAAGUGUGAACCAGCUUCAGUCACUACCUGCAGGGGCGACAUCUUUAAGUACCCCACUGCAAUGAGUGCAUAUUGCAGGGAUAUUUGUUAGUCCAGUACGCUGGCUCGUUGAGAUUUUGCUUCACAAGUUCAGAGAUGAGCAUUUUUUAGGGGGCAUAGGGUGAAUUGUGUCCAGUAAAGUGUGUGUUUCUCUUUUUGAUUUCAUUUCUCAUUUUGGAAAAUCUCUUGCCACGAGUCCAGCUAACCACAAUCGACAACAGUUUUCAUCAACUUGUUAUACAUGAAUGAAUAGUUACUUUUCUACAUAUUAUUUUACAGUAGAACACAAUCUGGUUGAAAUAAAUUUAAGCCCA